rnacentral:rRNA from 1 species
AGAGUUUGAUCAUGGCUCAGAAUGAACGCUGGCGGUAGGCUUAACACAUGCAAGUCGGACGGAAACGAUAGAGAAGCUUGCUUUUCUAGGCGUCGAGUGGCGGACGGGUGAGUAACGCGUGGGAAUCUACCCUAUAGUUGGGGACAACGUAUGGAAACGUACGCUAAUACCGAAUAUGCUCUACGGAGUAAAGGAGCCCUCUUCUUGAAAGGUUUCGCUAUAGGAUGAGCCCGCGUAAGAUUAGCUAGUUGGUAAGGUAAUGGCUUACCAAGGCAACGAUCUUUAGCUGGUUUGAGAGGAUGAUCAGCCACACUGGGACUGAGACACGGCCCAGACUCCUACGGGAGGCAGCAGUGGGGAAUAUUGCACAAUGAGCGAAAGCUUGAUGCAGCCAUACCGCGUGUGUGAAGAAGGCCCGAGGGUUGUAAAGCACUUUCAAUUGUGAGGAAGAUUAAGUAGUUAAUACCUGCUUAGUUUGACGUUAACUUUAGAAGAAGCACCGGCUAACUCUGUGCCAGCAGCCGCGGUAAUACAGAGGGUGCAAGCGUUAUUCGGAAUUACUGGGCGUAAAGCGCGCGUAGGCGGAUGAUUAAGUCAGUUGUGAAAGCCCUGGGCUCAACCUAGGAACUGCAUCUGAUACUGGUCAUCUAGAGUUUAGGAGAGGGAAGUGGAAUUCCAGGUGUAGCAGUGAAAUGCGUAGAUAUCUGGAGGAACAUCAGUGGCGAAGGCGACUUCCUGGCCUAAAACUGACGCUGAGGUGCGAAAGCGUGGGUAGCGAACGGGAUUAGAUACCCCGGUAGUCCACGCCGUAAACGAUGUCAACUAGUUGUUGGUCCUAUUAAAAGGAUUAGUAACGAAGCUAACGCGAUAAGUUGACCGCCUGGGGAGUACGGUCGCAGAUUAAAACUCAAGGAAUUGGCGGGGGCCCGCACAAGCGGUGGAGCGUGUGUUUAAUUCGAU